UCAUUAGGGAAUGCUUUGGAAAAUCACACUUAAUAAGCCCAGGCUUUGCCUACCUCCCCAUGUCACUGGGGCUCUACAGGGACUUAUGGUGAUGUGAUAGGCUUGGCCAAUACCUCACAUCUCCUGGGAGGUGGAGAGGUGGCUCUUGAGUGGGAUCUUGGGCCUGGUGGAUCCCACAAACUGAGUGUAGCUCAACAUCCCAAGGCUAGUGAUUGAAACAACAGCAGAUCAUGGGUACUUCCCUGCCACCAUUACCUCAGACUCUUCAGAAGUUCAGGCCACUUUGGAAAUUGUCCCUGGAACAUCUCUACAGGCUCCUUAAAGUAUUCUUAAUAAUGCUUGUACUAUCUGUGUGCGGGAAGCCUGAUCAGAUAGCUGUGGUCCAAAGACCCUAAAUGGAUAAAGUAUUGGAAUCAAGUACAUUCAGGCUAGCUAGUGUGGACACAAAUAGCUAUGUCUAUUGUUUCCAAAAGGAAUGAUCAAAGGUGUUAUGCCUUAAACUGUUUUUUCCCUAAAACAUAGGUUACAUGGUCAUUUUUUUGUGAAUGGUCUUUACACAGUUUUCAAGUUUAAAUGAGGUCAUUGGUAUUGUUCAAAAAGGGGGAGGGGUGUUUUAGGACUUGGCAAAAGACAGAGGGAGACAGUCUAAGGAUAGCCAGAGAGAAGACUAUCAAGUGACAGGAACGUCCCUUCUACAGAUGUAUACUGUUUUACAGGGUACAUGAAGUGUGGUUUGGGUGUUGCUGGGAUUUAGACACAACGACGACGACAACAACAACAACAAACCAAACAACAACAACAUUAACAACAAACCAAACAACAACAACAAAACAACAACAUUAAUAAUAAACCAAAUUAAAAAAAGGUCAAAACCCCAAAAAAACUCAUCAGGCGAUGUUGGCUCACACCGUUAAUCUCAACACUCAGCAGGCAGAGGUAGGUCGAUCUCAAUGAGUUCGAGGCCAGCCUGGUCUACAGAGUGAGAUCCAGGUCAGCCAGGGCUACAAAGGGAAACCCUGUCUCGAAAAACCAAACUGAACCAAAAUGAAACGAAAAAACCAACCAACCAACCAACCAACCAACCAACCAACCAACCAACCAACCAACCAAAGAAACCGAACCUAAUCGAACUGAACCAAACCGAACCGAAACAAAAGAAAAAACUGCAUUUCCCAGAAGGCAGAGCUGCAAGCUGGGAAAUGACGCUCAGCGUAGUGGGCGUUCCUGGGAAACUUUGGGGGCGGGACUUCCGACAUUAUGUCGGUCAUUCUUGAGUCUCAGACUAGUCUUCCCAGUGGUUCGCCGCACUGGGCAGAAACAGGGUCCUGUGAAUCGAGGGUAGCGAACGAGAAGGACCUCGAGGACAGAGGGCCCACUCCCACCUUCCAAGCGAGCCGUGCUCUUCUUCGCGGCCUAGCAGCGCCCCCCGCUGCACACUUUUCGGGGCCUCAGCACCAAUGGUUCCCAUAGCGACGCCUGCAUUGGUGAGAGGAGGUUCCCCUCUCUCGGGCCAUCUGAUGGGGGUGGGCGUGGGGCUCCUGGGUUCUGGAACUCUAACUCUUCCUGAGUUAGUGUCCUGGGAUCUGGAAACAGUAGGUUCCUCAGGAGGUUCUUGUGUCGGGCUCUAACCUUGGUCCCCACUCUUUUCCGCUCUUGGCCUCGCUCCCCAGGUCUGAAUUGGGGUGUCCGUUAUAAUUUCCUCCUGAGAGAACUGACCCAGUAUGCCCGUGCUUGGGUCUUGUGCUCAGUAGGAUCCAGACAGCAUCACUGUGGGCGGCCCCCGGUGUGCUAAUCUGGUUCCUCGGGCCUUCGCUUGCUUCCCUGUAGCCUGGAGGUUUCUGAGUCUAGAUGUCUGAGGUAGCUCUGCAUUGCUAGAAGUAGAAAGCCCCUUUGCUGACAGGAAAAAAGGGACUGGGUUUGUCUUCACAGCGUAUUUGGCUUGUUCCUGAACAGUGAUGAAUCAGUUUUCUGUUAACACUACUAUUUUUAAUCCUGUACUGCAAAAUAAAUUUAAAAUAUUUGUUAAUGACUGUGCUUUUGGAGUGCACAUACACAGUGGACCCAAUUACUCUCCAGCAUGCUAAGCUGUUCACUACCAGCAGCAUGGGUCUGUUCACUUUUAAGACUAAUUUUUCCUGGUGUGUGUGUACGUGCUUGUGUGCUUGUGCAAUGUGUGCUGGUACACGUGUGAGAGCUGGUACACUUUUGUAGGCAUGCAUAUGCAAGCCCACGUUUGAUACCCAGAGUCAUUUUUCAGCACUCUUCCAUGAUCUCUCAAUCAAACCCAGAACUUGUGGAUAUGGCCAGUCUUGCUAGCUAGCUUGCUCUGGGCUCUCCUGUUUUCUCCUUUUGAAGUUGGACUCAGACAGCUCCUUAGGCUCACCCAGAAUUUCCAUGGAUUUGGGGGCUCUGAACUCUCAGUUACCUGCCAUGCACUUUAACUGCUGACCCUUUUUGGACAUCCAGGGCUUGGCAACCUCACUUUUUCUCACUUGGCUUGCAGGAUUGGAUCAUUCCACUCUUCCUCUGUCAGCAUUUUGAGGGUACAGACAAAGAAGGCACAGCUCCCCUGCUGCCACCCACAGCAGUCUGAGAAGUUCCCUUAGAGAUUCUUAGGGGCUUCAUACUUAUGCUAACCCAGGACUCACAUCUUGAAUGCUGAAAAGAAUUUCAGGGUUAACCUGGUUUGAAGCAGAGUUCAGGUUUUAAUGAAAACAUCUUAAUAGAGGUUUAAGGUCUGGAGGGGCCCUCAAAAAGAUCAGAUAUAUCAGAAAGCGUGGAUAUAGAUUGUGUGUGUGUGUGUCUGUCUGUCUGUCUGUCUGUCUCUCUGUGUUUGUCUAUCUAUCUGUCUAUCUAAUGUCAUUCAUUGUUUUUUACAAAAAGUCAUAUAGGAUUUUCAUGGGAUUGAAGUUACCAUUAUCAAAGGCUUGCUAAGAAAUCUAAAUGAGAUAGCUGGGUGCUUCCUGAGGGGUCCCUGAUAGUAUUACAGUCCAUCAGGUGAAAAUCUGGCUCACAAGGAUAGAGAACAGUGGGCUAGCUUUACUGUAAACAGAGAUAGCUGAUGUGAUUUAGAUUUUUGGGGCAGUGUCUGGGGAAAGGAAGGGGGCCCUACCCAAGGUCACACAUACUCUGGCAUUAUAUCCUGGCUUAUUCCCUUAACAUAAAAUACUUCUAUGUAGGAGGACUAACUGUGCCGGAGGCUUUCACAGCAAGUAUCAAUUAUUCUAAAUUAUUUCUAAUAUAUUUAUUUCAUUUCAUGUGUAUGAAUGUUUUGUCUAUGUGUACUUAUGUGUACCAUGUAUAUAUCUGGUACCUGGGAGGCCAGAAGUAGGCACCAUACUCCCUGAAACUGGAGUUACAGUCAGUUGUGAAGUGCCAUGUGGGUGCUGGGAAUUGAUCCUGGGUCCUCAGCAAGAACAGCAAGUACUCUUAACCCCUGGGCCCUGUCCCACAUUCUUGAUUCUUACCUGGUGAGGAGCUUCAGUCAGACUCCAGAGUGAUGAGUGUCUUUCCCUCCCCAAGUGCCUACAAUGUUUCUGUAAUUCUGUCCUGUCUCAGUUCCAGUGCCAUUUCAGAAAGUCCUUCUCCAACUGCUUCAUCUAAAGCUUCUCCCAGUCUUCCACACAUCACCCCAUUUUGUUUAGGAACCCAGAGAACUGUCUCACUUCAUUUAGCACAUAAAUUAAAAUGCAACCUCUGCUGUAGUGCUGGAGGUGAGUGCUCUGCCACUGUGCUGUGUCCCCAGCUGACUGCUUCCAUAUUGUUGCAGGUCUGUAACUUUAAUUUUUUUAAAGCCUAUUUCUAAUGAUGGUUCUUAAAUGUUUUAACCUCCAUUUUAGCCCACCACCCACCAGAGGUAGUAGAAAAGAAAGGAUGUGGGGGAAGUGGACCUGUUUCGAAAGAGUCUUUGGAGCAGCUUCUAUCUGUGUUGUCUGGAAAUCGGCAGUUCAGUUCACAGGUCAGCAUCGGCAGCUUGAUUCACUUGCAAACACUUUACAGGCAUAUCAGCAGUCUAGUUUGGUAGAGUUGGGAUAGCAAACAUGAAUCAGCAGUGGUGGCAGCUAGGCCUCAGCAAGCUCGAGACCAACAAGCAUUGCACAGUUAGCUCUAUAAUCAAGCCAAACUCAGUCUCCAUCACUGUCCAUUAAGUCCUAUUUAUACUCUUUUCAAACAUCAUGUGUUCUUCACGGGUCUUGCCUCUGCACGUGCAUCUGUCUCGACUGACAUCACAUUGCCAAUCAGCCUAAGUCCUCAGAAGCCACAAGAAACUGCAGCACACUAACAGAAGAUUUUUGGUGUGUUUUCUCUAUGGAGUCAUGACAAAUGCAGCUCAACUGCGCAAUGUAAGGCAGAGCAAUACAGGUGUGUUGUUAGCAGAGAAUCCUUCAUCAGGUGUCCUUUCAUGUGUUUGUUUUAGCAGAACAUCCUUUCUCCUAUGUCUGCCUCAGCUAAACAUUCCUUCAUGUGUUGGUCCAGCAAAAUACCAUCCAACACAACUGACUUUCCAAAGAACCCUUAAGUUUCCAUUUCACAGGCCCAUUCGCAACCCUGGAAUAUGAGUUCCUUCAAAGGAUGGGGUUUGUGUUAUUUCUUUAGUAAGUGGAUAGUGAGUGAAAGACUACCCUCUGAGGCUGCUGUCACCCUCAACCUGCCACCAUGGUUACAGUCUUCAAGCCACCAUCCCAUUAGGCUCACUUUCUGCCCUCAGGCCAAGCUGGCUCAAACCCCCAAGCUGUUUACCCCCUUUUGUCACUUUGAACUUGUUGUGUGACACCAUUCCUGGAGAGAAGUGAGCAAAUGUCUCCUCACCCUACAUAGGGAACUGACAAUAGACCAAAGUAAAGAUAGUACCAUAGUCCAACUUGGUGGACUAAUAGUCCUAUUAAGAUUAUUUACAGGAACACAGGUAGUGGUUAUUUACAGGGACACAGUGACUCCAGACAGCUGUAUCUGUAACCUGACUUUUGGCUACUUGGUGAGUUUUUUUCUUUCCACCCUUUUCCACCCUCUUCCAGCCUUUCAGUUCCCUAACACUUAGUAGGAGAGAAAAAGUGGUUGGAGGGGAAAGAGGGCAAUGAUAUUGUUAGACUAAUUCCUGGUGAUUAGGGGUGUUGAGUUUCUCAGGACAACUUUUAUCUUGGCCUUCAGGAUAUCUAAUUUCUUCUUCUCAACCCUUUUGCUCAUGACUGAAGAUAAACCACAUCAAGUAGCAACCAACAUUAUCCAACCAGCAAUUGGCCAAACAGCCCAUUCUGUUGGGGCCUUUAUAUAGCUUCUGAAGUGUUCCCAGAAUUCCAAGUAUCACAUGCAGCUAGCAAAGAAACUACCUGCAGCUGGCAAAAUCGUGCCCCUGCUAGGCUAAUCAUAGUCAUCUGCUGUGAAGCAGUCCCAUCUCUCACACCUGGGAUUAAAACAAAAACACAUAUUUCUGUUUUUAACAAAACCAACAUUUUCAUUCAUGUGUUACCACAGCCUGCACUAGCAUGGGUACAGCUUUCAAAAGCUGGCAACCCAGGGUACACUGCACCAUGUGCAAGUCUGAACAGUCAGGAGUAUAGCUCUUUCAGACAUUGAUAAUGAUCUGAGCCUCUCCCAGGCAGCUCAACUGGUCUGUGUUCCUUGGCAGACCCUACACCUUAUACAUGCUUUGGGGAAGAGUAGAAUGGAUCUAGUCAGUUCCAGGACUUCCUGAGUGUAGGGAGCUUCCCUGCAGGGUGGAGUGUUGUGUCCUGGAGGAAAUGGCCACAGCAGUCCUCAGAUCUACGACCAAGCUGCCUCUUGAAUACAUGCUGCACAUUCCCUCCGUGCUUCCUGAGUACACAAAACUGUUACAGUAGGAUAGUGAAGCUUUGGGUGACACUCAAAGCAUACUUUGCAAGAUUUUCAUGGAUGAGAAUGGGAAUGAGGGGAACUUCAGAGAUACUUCCAGGCUGAGGUGCCUCAUUGAAAAAGUUAGGCUUUAUUCAAGGAGGCAUGAGAUGACUCUUGGAGUCAUGGGCUCUCAUAAGUUGCCCUCAUGUUUCUAAGAAAGGUGAGAUUGGCUGGCAGUUCCUUACCUAUACUUCGUCCUUGCCCAAGACAGAUAUCAUGCUCCAGGUUGCUACCCAUGUUCAUGGGGCCAUGGCCAUUGUCCUUGGUCACUUGGGUACCAGAUACUUAAGUAAUCUUAGGUAACACUGUGAAUAAUGGAUCAUUUAAAAAUGAAACAAAUGUGUGACAGAGCCUCUGGGUCUCGUCUAGGUACAGAUUCUCUAUUUUGAGCCCGGGCAGGUGAGGUGUGACAGGUAAAUUUAACACAAUGGAUUUUUCCAAGCUAUCCAAAAUCUGUGAUGAAGAUAUGUGGAGAGCCGUGCCGCGAGCAAUCGCGUGCGUGCUGUGAGCAAUCGCCAUUAUAAGAUGGUGCUGGCUUCCACUGUGCCUAACUAGUAAACAAGCCUUAUGCGCAAGUGCAAGAGUGAACUCAUGCCUAGUCACUGCCCAUCUCGCAGCAUAGUAAUGGGGUGAUGGGCGAGCAACGAAUCAGGAGCUGUCACGCCACAUCAGGUGCUGAAACGUCAUGCUGCGGGCUAUAUAAACAGCGCCAUUUUCCCAGUUCGGGGUCUUCCCUCCUGAUAAGUAAGCAAUAAAAGCUUUGCUGCAGAAGAUUCCAGUUGUCCUGAGUGUGUUCUUGCCGGCGGGGACAAAAGCUUGGGCAAUAAGUGGCGCUGAGGAACCCGGGAACUAUCAUCACACCAGCGCAAGGGAGAUCCCUCGUUCACGAGGUGGAACCAGAACGGGACAUUACAGCUUUACGAGGAAAUUGGUCUGAAAGAUUCGAUGAGACCCUUGAGUCCCUGAGAGUGGCCGUUCUAAAGAUCAACUCGACACGAGUGGACCUGUCAUUUACAGAGGGCCUCUCCUCCUGGAUUUCAUCUGCUUUUUCUUAUUUUAAAGAAUGGGUGGAGGUCCUGGAUAUUAUAUUUCACACAGAAGCUUUAUGAAAUUCAUAUUAAGUUAUAAAUAUAAACAGUGCUUAAAUAUUUUGUUUUUGAAGUACAAAAUACUUAGAGAAGCGCUUAUAAGAUUUACUCAGAGAGGACAGGUGUCCGCCUGGCUCGGGAGGAGGCCUCAGCCUCAGCAGCAGCGGUCGCCAUCUUGGUUCCGGGACUCCGCGGAACUUAGGAAAUUAGUCUGAACAGGUGAGAGGGUGCGCCAGAGAACCGGACAGCUUCUGGGACAGGCGGAAACACAGAGCCGCUGAGGCAGCACCCUUUGCGGGCUGCAGACAGCUGGCAACCGUCCGGACCAGAGGACAGGUGUCCGCCUGGCUCGGGAGGCGGCCUUAGCCUCAGGAGCAGCGGUCGCCAUCUUGGUUCCGGGACUCCGCGGAACUUAGGAAUUUAGUCUGCACAGGUGAGAGUCUGCACCACAGAAGCUGAAAGCUUCUGGGAACUGCCAAAGCAACACAGCUUCUGAGAAAGGUCCUGUUUUGGGCCUUCUUCUUCAGCCAGCAGGAGGUCCAAACACAAGAUAUCUGCGCACCUUCCCUGUAAGAGAGCUUGCCAGCAUAGAGUGCUCUGAGCACUGAAACUCAGAGGAGAGAAUCUGUCUCUCAGGUCUGCUGAUAGACGGUAACAGAAUCACCAGAAGAACAAUCUCUAAACAGAGUCAACUAUAACUACUAACUCCAGAGAUUACCAGAUGGCGAAAGGUAAAUGUAGGAAUCUUACUAACAGGAACCAAGACCACUCACCAUCAUCAGAACCCAGCACUCCCACUUCUCCCAGUCCAGGGCACCCCAACACACCCAAAAACCUAGACCUAGAUUUAAAAGCAUAUCUCAUGAUGAUGGUAGAGGACAUCAAGAAGGACUUUAAUAAAUCCCUUAAAGAAAUACAGGAGAACACGGCUAAAGAGUUACAAGUCCUUAAAGAAAAACAGGAAAAGACAAUCAAACAGGUAGAAGUCCUUACAGAAAAAGAGGAAAAAACAUACAAACAGGUGAUGGAAAUGAACAAAACCAUACUAGACCUAAAAAGGGAAGUAGACACAAUAAAGAAAACUCAAAGUGCGGCAACACUGGAGAUAGAAACCCUAGGAAAGAAAUCUGGAACCAUAGAUUUGAGCAUCAGCAACAGAAUACAAGAGCUGGAAGAGAGAAUCUCAGGUGCAGAAGAUUCCAUAGAGAACAUCGGCACAACAAUCAAAGAAAAUGGAAAAUGCAAAAAGAUCCUAACUCAAAAUAUCCAGGAAAUCCAGGACACAAUGAGAAGACAAAACCUACGGAUAAUAGGAGUGGAUGAGAAUGAAGAUUUUCAACUCAAAGGACCAGCAAACAUCUUCAACAAAAUUAUUGAAGAAAACUUCCCAAAUCUAAAGAAAGAUGCCCAUGAACAUACAAGAAGACUACAGAACUCCAAAUAGACUGGACCAGAAAAGCAAUUCCUCCUGACACAUAAUAAUCAGAACAACAAAUGCACUAAAUAAAUAUAGAAUACUAAAAGCAGUAAGGGAAAAAGGUCAAGUAACAUAUAAAGGCAAGCCUAUCAGAAUUACACCAGAUUUUUCACCAGAGACUAUGAAAGCCAGAAGAGCCUGGACAGAUGUUAUACAGACACUAAGAGAACACAAAUUCCAGCCCAGGCUACUAUACCCAGCCAAACUCUCAAUUACCAUAGAUGGAGAAACCAAAGUAUUCCACGACAAAACUAAAUUCACCCAUUAUCUCUCCAGGAAUCCAGCCCUUCAAAGGAUAAUAACAGAAAAAAACCAAUACAAGAAUGGGAACAAUGCCCUAGGAAAAAAACAAGAAGGUAAUCCCUCAACAAACCUAAAAGAAGACAGCCACAAGAACAGAAUGCCAACUUUAACAACAAAAAUAACAGGAAGCAACAAUUACUUUUCCUUAAUAUCUCUUAACAUCAAUGGUCUCAACUCCCCAAUAAAAAGACAUAGACUAACAAAGUGGCUACACAAACAAGACCCAACAUUUUGCUGCUUACAGGAAACUAAUCUCAGAGAAAAAGAUAGACACUACCUCAGAAUGAAAGGCUGGAAAACAAUUUUCCAAGCAAAUGGUAUCAAGAAACAAGCUGGAGUAGCCAUCCUAAUAUCUGAUAAGAUUGACUUCCAACCCAAAGUCAUCAAAAAAGACAAGGAGGGGCACUUCAUUCUCAUCAAAGGUAAAAUCCUCCAAGAGGAACUCUCAAUUCUGAAUAUCUAUGCUUCAAAUACUAGGGCAGCCACAUUCAUUAAAGAAACUUUAGUAAAGCUCAAAACACACAUUGCACCUCACACAAUAAUAGUGGGAGACUUCAACACACCACUUUCACCAAUGGACAGAUCAUGGAAACAGAAACUAAACAGGGACACAGUGAAACUAACAGAAGUGAUGAAACAAAUGGAUCUGACAGAUAUCUACAGAACAUUUUAUCCUAAAACAAAAGGAUAUACCUUUUUCUCAGCACCUCAUGGGACCUUCUCCAAAAUUAACCACAUAAUAGGUCACAAAACAAGCCUCAACAUAUACAAAAAUAUUGAAAUUUUCCCAUGCAUCCUAUCAGAUCACCAUGCACUAAGGCUGAUCUUCAAUAACAAAAUAAAUAAUAGAAAGCCAACAUUCACGUGGAAACUGAACAACACUCUUCUCAAUGAUACCUUGGUCAAGGAAGGAAUAAAGAAAGAAAUUAAAGACUUUUUAGAGUUUAAUGAAAAUGAAGCUACAACGUACCCAAACCUUUGGGACACAAUGAAAGCAUUUCUAAGAGGGAAACUCAUAGCUCUGAGUACCUCCAAGAAGAAACGGGAGAGAGCACAUACUAGCAGCUUGACAACACAUCUAAAAGCUCUAGAAAAAAAGGAAGCAAAUUCACCCAAGACGAGUAGAUGGCAGGAAACAAUCAAACUCAGGGGUGAAAUCAACCAAGUGGAAACAAGAAGAACUAUUCUAAGAAUUAACCAAACGAGGAGUUGGUUCUUUGAGAAAAUCAACAAGAUAGAUAAACCCUUAGCUAGACUCACUAGAGGGCACAGGGACAAAAAUCCUAAUUAACAAAAUCAGAACUGAAAAGGGAGACAUAACAACAGAUCCUGAAGAAAUCCAAAACACCAUCAGAUCCUUCUACAAAAGGCUAUACUCAACAAAACUGGAAAACCUGUACGAAAUGGACAAAUUUCUGGACAGAUACCAGGUACCAAAGUUGAAUCAGGAUCAAGUUGACCUUCUAAACAGUCCCAUAUCCCCUAAAAAAUAGAAGCAGUUAUUAAUAGUCUCCCAGCCAAAAAGAGCCCAGGACAAGAUGGGUUUAGUGCAGAGUUCUAUCAGACCUUCAAAGGAGAUCUAAUUCCAGUUCUGCACAAACUUUUUCACAAGAUAGAAGUAGAAGGUACUCUACCCAACUCAUUUUAUGAAGCCACUAUUACUCUGAUACCUAAACCACAGAAAGAUCCAACAAAAAGAACUUCAGACAAAUUUCUCUUAUGAAUAUCAAAGCAAAAAUCCUCAAUAAAAUUCUCGCUAACCGAAUCCAAGAACACAUUAAAGCAAUCAUCCUGACCAAGUAGGUUUUAUUCCAGUGUUGCAGGGAUGCUUUAAUAUACGAAAAUCCAUCAAAGUAAUCCAGUAUAUAAACAAACUCAAAGACAAAAACCACAUGAUCAUCUCGUUAGAUGCAGAGAAAGCAUUUGACAAGAUCCAACACCCAUUCAUGAUAAAAGUUCUGGAAAGAUCAGGAAUUCAAGGCCCAUACCUAAACAUGAUAAAAGCAAUCUACAGGAAACCAUUAGCCAACAUCAAGUUAAAUGGAGAGAAGCUGGAAGCAAUCCCACUAAAAUCAGGGACUAGACAAGGCUGCCCACUUUCUCCCUACCUUUUCAACAUAGUACUUGUAGUAUUAGCCAGAGCAAUUCGACAACAAAAGGAGUUCAAGGGGAUACAAAUUGGAAAAGAGGAAGUCAAAAUAUCACUCUUUGCAGAUGAUAUGAUAGUAUAUAUAAGUGACCCUAAAAAUUCCAACAGAGAA